AUCCAGCUGACGAGUCCCAAAUAGGAUGAAACACACGUACUAGAU
rnacentral:hammerhead_ribozyme from 1 species